AAUUCGAUGAUACGCGAAGAACCUUACCAGGUCUUGACAUCCCUAGCAAAGCUAUGGAGACAUAGUGGAGGUUUAUCAGGGAGACAGGUGGUGCAUGGUUGUCGUCAGCUCGUGUCGUGAGAUGUUGGGUUAAGUCCCGCAACGAGCGCAACCCUUAUUGCUAGUUACCAUCAUUGAGUUGGGGACUCUAGCGAGACUGCCAGUGAUAAACUGGAGGAAGGUGGGGAUGACGUCAAAUCAUCAUGCCCCUUAUGUCCUGGGCUACACACGUACUACAAUGGCAACAACAGAGGGCAGCCAGGCCGCGAGGCCGAGCGAAUCCCAAAAUGUUGUCUCAGUUCAGAUUGCAGGCUGAAACUCGCCUGCAUGAAGUCGGAAUUGCUAGUAAUGGCAGGUCAGCAUACUGCCGUGAAUACGUUCCCGGGCCCU
rnacentral:rRNA from 1 species